rnacentral:rRNA from 1 species
GACAGAGGGUGCAAACGUUGCUCGGAAUCAUUGGGCGUAAAGCGCACGUAGGCGGCCUGUUAAGUCGGAUGUGAAAUCCCUCGGCUCAACCGAGGACGUGCAUACGAAACUGGCAGGCUCGAGUAUGGAAGAGGGUCGCGGAAUUCCCGGUGUAGAGGUGAAAUUCGUAGAUAUCGGGAGGAACACCAGUGGCGAAGGCGGCGACCUGGGCCAAUACUGACGCUGAGGUGCGAAAGCGUGGGGAGCAAACAGG